CAAUAGCGUAUAUUAAAGUUGUUGCAGUUAAAAAGCUCGUAGUUGGAUUUUGGUAUGGAUGCGGUGGUCCGCCGAUUGGUGAGUACUGCCGUGUGCAUGCCCCCUCUCAUAGACCUGCGGUGGUCUUAACUGGCUGCUGUAUGGGGUAUGGGAUUUUUACUUUGAAAAAAUUAGAGUGUUCAAAGCAGGCCUUUGCUUGAAUACAUUAGCAUGGAAUAAUAAGAUAGGACUUUGGUCUAUUUUGUUGGUUUGCAGACCGAAGUAAUGAUUAAUAGGGAUAGUUGGGGGUAUUUAUAUUCCGAUGUCAGAGGUGAAAUUCUUAGAUUUUCGGAAGAUAAACUUAUGCGAAAGCAUUUACCAAGGAUGUUUUCAUUAA
rnacentral:rRNA from 1 species